rnacentral:lncRNA from 1 species
GUUUUGAAGAGAAAAAUGGAAAAGAAAAAAAAAUUAAAAAGAUUCAAUAUUUAAGUAGAAAAUGAAGAGUAGUAAGGUGUUAUUUUAAAUAUCUAUUAUAUCUCCAUUUAUUUUUAUAAAAAAAUUUGAUACAAUAUUUAGAACUACUCAUAGUCAUUUUUCAACCCUUUAAGUAGGAGGAUAAUGUACUUCAGCACAUUCAAACCCAC